rnacentral:rRNA from 1 species
UACGGGGGGGGCAAGCGUUGUUCGGAAUUACUGGGCGUAAAGGGCUCGUAGGCGGCCAACUAAGUCAGACGUGAAAUCCCUCGGCUUAACCGGGGAACUGCGUCUGAUACUGGAUGGCUUGAGUUCGGGAGAGGGAUGCGGAAUUCCAGGUGUAGCGGUGAAAUGCGUAGAUAUCGGGAGGAACACCGGUGGCGAAGGCGGCGACCUGGGUAGAUACUGACGCUGAGGUGCGAAAGCGUGGGGAGCAAACAGG